UACGUAGGGAGCAAGCGUUGUCCGGAAUCAUUGGGCGUAAAGCGCGCGUAGGUGGCUUCGUAAGUCCGUUGUGAAAGUCAAAGGCUCAACCUUUGAAAGCCGAUGGAUACUGCGGAGCUAGAGUACGGAAGAGGCGAGUGGAAUUCCUGGUGUAGCGGUGGAAUGCGCAGAUAUCAGGAGGAACACCAAUAGCGAAAGGCAGCUCGCUGGGACGUUACUGACACUGAGGCGCGAAAGCGUGGGGAGCGAACAGG
rnacentral:rRNA from 1 species